rnacentral:rRNA from 1 species
CCUACGGGUGGCUGCAGUAAGGAAUAUUGGUCAAUGGACGAAAGUCUGAACCAGCCAUGCCGCGUGGAGGAUGAAGGUCCUCUGGAUUGUAAACUUCUUUUAUAUGGGACGAAAAAAGGCCUUUCUAGGCCGUCUGACGGUACCAUAUGAAUAAGCACCGGCUAACUCCGUGCCAGCAGCCGCGGUAAUACGGAGGGUGCAGGCGUUAUCCGGAUUCACUGGGGCGUAGGUGUGUUGAGGUGGCUUGGUAGAAAUCUCCGAGCUUAACUGGGGAACUGCCAUUGAUACUAUUAAUCUUGAAUAUUGUGGAGGUUAGCGGAAUAUGUCAUGUAGCGGUGAAAUGCUUAGAUAUGACAUAGAACACCAAUUGCGAAGGCAGCUGGCUACACAUAUAUUGACACUGAGGCACGAAAGCGUGGGGAUCAAACAGGAUUAGAUACCCCAGUAGUC